UGUAAAUUAGUGUAUGAUGCACUUUAAACUUUGAAUUUAAUAGAUGAGUUUGAUUCUCAAUUUUACAA
rnacentral:tRNA from 1 species